UACCAGCACCCCCGAGUGGUCGGGACGUUUAUUGGGCCUAAAGCAUCCGUAGCCGGUUCUACAAGUCUUCCGUUAAAUCCACCUGCUUAACAGAUGGGCUGCGGAAGAUACUAUAGAGCUAGGAGGCGGGAGAGGCAAGCGGUACUCGAUGGGUAGGGGUAAAAAUCCGUUGAUCCAUUGAAGACCACCAGUGGCGAAGGCGGCUUGCCAGAACGCGCUCGACGGUGAGGGAUGAAAGCUGGGGGAGCAAACCGG
rnacentral:rRNA from 1 species